rnacentral:rRNA from 1 species
AUUGAACGCUGGCGGCAGGCCUAACACAUGCAAGUCGAACGAGUGGCGGACGGGUGAGUAAUGUAUGGGAAACUGCCUGAUGGAGGGGGAUAACUACUGGAAACGGUAGCUAAUACCGCAUACCAUCGGAUGUGCCCAGAUGGGAUUCGCUAGUAGGUGGGGUAAAGGGUCACCUAGGCGACGAUCCCUAGCUGGUCUGAGAGGAUGACCAGCCACAUGGGAACUGAGACACGGUCCAGACUCCUACGGGACGCAGCAGGUGUGAAUAUUGCACAAUGGGCGCAAGCCUGAUGCAUCCAUGCCGCGUGUAUGAAGAAGGCCUUCGGGUUGGAAAGUACUUGCAGCGGGGAGGCGUUACCCGCAGAGGAAGCAACGGCUAACUCCGUGCCAGCAGCCGCGGUAAUAC